rnacentral:rRNA from 1 species
AGCAGCCGCGGUAAUUCCAGCUCCAAUAGCGUAUAUUAAAGUUGUUGCAGUUAAAAAGCACGUAGUUGAAUUUCGGGGUCAGUAAGUUGGUCGUGCCACUGGUAUGUACUGGCUUUACUGAUUCCUCCUUCUUGUAGAACCGUAAUGCCAUUAAGUUGGUGUUGCGGGAAAACAGGACUGUUACUUUGAAAAAAUUAGAGUGUUUAAAGCAAGCUAACGCUUGAAUACAUUAGCAUGGAAUAAUGAAAUAGGACGAACGAUCCUAUUUUGUUGGUUUCUAGGAUUGACGUAAUGAUUAAUAGGGAUAGUUGGGGGCACUAGUAUUCAAUUGUCAGAGGUGAAAUUCUUGGAUUUAUUGAAGACUAACUACUGCGAAAGCAUUUGCCAAGGAUGUUUUCAUAAUCAAGAACGAAAGUUAGGGGAUCGAGACGAUCAGAUACCGUCGUAGUC